GGGAAUUGUAGCUCUGUGAUGGUAACAGGCGUCUCCUAACAACUCUCAGAGCCCGUAACAAACUGUGGUAAAAUUAUUAUUAUUAUAUAUGCUGAGGUAAAAUCAUUGUCAGAAGGAAGGCUCUGGCUUGUAAGAAUAAAGGAAGCAAAUUCUUUUAAGAUGUGUUUAAAGUCUUAAGGGAGAUUUAAGGUAUUCAUAUUUUAUUUAAUUAUGUUGUGCUCAGGCACAACAUUUUUUUUUUUAAAGAUUGAUGUUUAAUUAUGUAGGGAGUUUAGCUUAACAACAUAAUUACAAGACAGCUAAAGCUGGUGCUUGAUUGUAUACUUAAUACGGCUUUCCAAGAAUUGUCUAAUCAUAAAAUUGCUAGUUAAACAUGUCAAUAAGAUGUAGUUUAAAAGACUGUAAUUACACCACUGUCCACAUUAUCUGCACGGGUUAUGAAAGCACCAUUGUGGCCUAAGUAAUCAUUGUUUUCCCGAGUCUUUUAUUAGAAAGAGUUAAAAGAGAUUUGGCACAAAAAGUAGCGGGGGAGGGCGGGCAGAGAACAAUAUUAAGAAAAACUAAGGGCGGAUUUAGUGUAAACCAAAGGAUUUCGGGAACUGAUCAUUUAAGACUGUGUUACCAAUAUUAAUAUUGUGAUGAAGGCUUUUUUCAUUUUCUCCCAAACAAGCAUGACGUGGAGAGAUUAAAAUUAUUAAACUUAUCUCAUUUCACCGCUCCCCCCAAUCAUAUUCUUGCUAAACUUGCACACAGAAAAAUGGAAAAUGAGGUGGGAAGCCUCUAUCUGGCUUCUGCAGGUAAGGAGUUGUGGUCCAAGACAUGUAGCAGAUUUGGGAAGACUGACCCACAAUCAGUUGCCACCUCAGUGAGAAGUAGACCUUAGCAUAUAUAUUCAGACAGAUUUCCGCCCCGCCUCCCACAAUAAACCUUAUAUUGAUCAUGGCACCAGAAGCUGGGAUUUGCCCCAUAACUCAUCUUAGGAACUCUUACUGAUCCAGUCGUUAUAGUGUUUUACUAUUAUAUUAAGGACUCUGGUUUUGAACUCUUUAACAUCUCUUUUCUUUUCUUUUCUUUUCUUUUCUUUUCUUUUCUUUUCUUUUCUUUUCUUUUCGUCAACCAGUUAGGUGGGGCUAGAAAUAGAUUGGCAAAUGAAUAAAUGACGCUUGAGCUAGCUCUGGGCCUAAGAUUGCACACAUUCCUGGUGCUGCCCCUGAAAUUAUAGUUAAUAUAGAGAUUCCAUCUAUAUAGCCAAUGUGUAUGGAAAAUUUGAAUUAGGGUGGUUUUGCGCUAUUUAAGAUGGAAAUCCCACCUUGUGCAAUCAAUCAAUCAAUCAAAUAAGAAUACUGCAUCUUUCCUGAAAAUAAACUCAAAGAAGGGCUAGAGCUUUGCAGGAUAUUUUCUCAAAAAGAAAUUGUGAGGGAGAAAUACCCCCUCCCCCGCCCAAUACAUUCAGAAUUUUAUAAUGUCAUUUCUUUAACUCUCGUUCAUAGUGAUUUUGUUCUUCUUAAAUUUCAAUGGGGAAAUAAUAUUGAAGCACUCAAGUUUACAAGGUUUUUUUUUAAGUCUCUUUUCUUUUUAUGCACGGUCAUGGAUGGUUACCUGGUUGUCAAAGAUGGGACCUGCAAGCAGUGUUUGAAAGUGCUUUCAGUGUGUGCGAAACACAGCCGCUUCGAAUGAAGCAGCUUUUAUAAAAUUCCAAGUUAAAGAGAGGCAAAGCAGAAAUGAUCGGGGAAGGAUCUUUAAGGCCGUAUAUUUCCAUAAGUACUUCAGGGGCUUAACAUUUCACUCUUGGGAGUAAUCUUUUUAUGGACUGGUAAUGAAACCUUAUCUGACAGUGGUUAUGAGUCAUUCUUUGGCAUUCUCCUGCCAAAUGUUACUGUGCAGAGCUCUGGAUGAUGGGAUAAAGCUUCUUUCUUCACAGUUUUGUCUGCUCAGGGGGAUCCUUCAGUUAGAAAGGAAACCCAUUUUAUUCUUCUGGAAGCCUACAUAAUCCAUCCAUUCCUUUCUUUUUUACUUGAAUGCCAUCAUCAUAUUUAAGGCUCAGAAUUAGAGCCAUCUUUCCUUCAGUUGAGAGGCACCUCUGUUAUGCAUCAGGAAACCAGAGACAAUUGAGUAAUAAUAGUAUUCUUUAUUCACUGUUAGAGAGUUACAACUACUAGAAGCAGUUCACUGGGUGGGCAAGUAUCUGUCGCUUACUGGGAGGGAAGGAGAGGUGGAGGUGCAAGGUGGCUGGGAGGUUGGCAUGGUGCAAAUGCACUGUCAGGAGUGCCAGAUUGGCUCCGCCGGUACAUUUGCACUGUGCUGACUUCUCUCUCUCCCUCCUGGUAAGCAACAGCAGCCUACUUUCCAGGAAGCUACCAUUGCCAUUCUCCCCACCUGGUGACCUGCUUCUGACUACUACCAGCCACAGUCUAGUGCUAUAAACUCAUGGGUAAUUUCUGGUGUGGAUUUUUUAAAAAAAUGAGUGAAAUAAUUAGGUAUUAAGCUUUAGAAAUUUUGCUUUGCCUUGAGCAAUCCUCCUCAGAGUGGACCCAUCAAAAUUAAUGGGCUUGACUAACUUAAGUUCAUUACUUUCAAUGGGUCUUCUAUUAGUAUGGCUUAAAAGGUAAAGGUAAAGGUAAAAGGACCCCGUGACCGACUCUGGGGUUGCGGCGCUCAUCUCGCUUUAUUGGCUGAGGGAUCCGGUGUACAGCUUCCGGGUCAUGUGGCCAGCAUGACUAAGCUGCUUCUGGCAAACCAGAGCAGCGCACGGAAACGCCGUUUACCUUCCCGCCGGAGCGGUACCUAUUUAGCUACUUGCACUUGACGUGCUUUCAAACUGCUAGGUGGGCAGGAGCAGGGACCGAGCGACGGGAGCUCACCCCAUUGUGGGGAUUCGAACCGCCGACCUUCUGAUCAGCAAGUCCUAGGCUCUGUGGUUUAACCCACAGCGCCACCCGCGUACCAAUUUAGUAUGGCUUAGCUGGAUACAAUCCCUUUCCCUUGUGCCUGGUUCUUGGUCUCUGGUUAACCUCAGACUGCAACCUAUGAUCCAGGUCUGACAUGGACGCAAAUCGAUGGAAAGCGCUUCUGCCUUUGCCCAGUUGCAAUAAAUGGAGGCUGUGCAAUAAAACAAAUGUGCUCUUGCACAGCUCCAUUCAUUUCAUUGGGGCAAGGCCAGCAUUAGCAACCAGCAGAGCCAAGCACCCUGGACUUAGGGUAACUUGUUCUUAACAUCUGGUUAUAGUGGUAAUUUUAAUGUGCAUUUUGCAUUUUGCUUAGAGGUUUUUAUGAUUAAGUGAUAUACACAUCCUGUUAAGCAAAAUAAAAUAAUAAGAUUCCCCUCUCUUUCAACGCACACACACACACACACACACAUCAGAAAUGGCUGGAAAGCACAUGUGGUGCAUGUUCUUUGUCUCUGCAAAGCCAAAGCGAUUUAAUUCACAAUCUGUGUUGCUCUCAUGCUAAUUCUUGAAUCAUUUGCUAUUAAGGCCUUGAUGGUUUUAUGUGGUUUGCUGGGAAACAUGCAGGACUCUGGGGGAGUUCUCUGGCUUCAGAUGUUUUCAAGGCUUUCCUUUCUCUCUUUCAUUUCUCUAAAAUCAGAACCAGAUUACACUGGGGAGUGGUGUUUAACCUAAACAAGCCCAGUAGGAGGCAGUGGGUGAGGGGGAACCCGACAGAAAAAAUGAAACACCAAAUGUCGGGAAUUUGGCUUACAUUCCCUAAGACGUCAUCUGAGUUUAAAUCAUCUUUAUAGAUUCUUUUAGUGGCAAUUCCCCCCCCCCCCCGGAAUGCCUAAAGAGUUAUGUAAAGACAUUACUCUUAAUCUCACGCAACAUGCUAAUAUGGAGAGAGAAUAGUGUAAUGGUUUGAAUGUUGGGCUGGGAUUGUGAAGACUAGGUAGAAAUCUCCCUUCAGCCAUGGAGCUCAUUGGAUGACCUUGCGAGAUCCACCCUUUUCCAUGAAUUGCUCAAACUGCAUCGGGGCAGAAAGUAAUGGCCUGUUACCACCCUUGUUUGUGGACACACCUCUCUAAACAUGCCUGCAGACUACUUCUCUGUGGUCAGGGAACAAGCCCUUCCAGAGCAUGAAUGACUGGGGAGAAUUUAGCUAGGGGAACUGGCUGUAUUCAGGAGGACAGGCUGGUGUCAGUCUGAUAGAGCUGACCUAGUAAAGGUAAAGAGACCCCUGACCAUUAGGUCCAGUCGUGACUGACUCUGGGGUUGUGGCGCUCAUCUCGCUUUAUUGGCCGAGGGAGCUGGCGGACAGCUUCCAGGUCAUGUGGCCAGCAUGACUAAGCCGCUUCUGGCGAACCAGAGCAGUGCACGGAAAUGCCGUUUACCUUCCCGCUGGAGCGGUAUCUAUUUAUCUACUUGCACUUUGACGUGCUUUCUAACUGCUAGGUUGGCAGGAGCAGGGACUGAACAACGGGAGUUCACCUCAUCGCGGGGAUUUGAACCGCCGACCUUCUGAUCAGCAAGCCCUAAGCUCUGAGGUUUAGACCACAGCGCCACCUGCGUCCCUGGCCAAAACCUGGCCAAAAUGCAAGGGAGCCUGGUGUGAUUAUUCGGGAUUGUAUUGUCAAGAUAGUGGAGUGCCCAUGAAAGGUAGUCACGGAGGAAUGGCGAUGAGAGCACAGCUUUCCCAGAAAUGAAGUUUAUAGCAAUUGAAAGGUUAACCACUGAAGGCCUUCCAGGAAUGGUGAGGGAAAGAGAAGGUGGGAUUGUUGGAUGAACAGUGGGGCUGUGGAAUGUGCUUUGCAUCCAGUGGGGAGAAAAGGAGAGAUUGCAAUCUGAAGAACAAUUAGAGACAAUAAGAGUCAAAAGAGGGAGAUGCAUUUACCUAUUCUUCCUUUUGGUUAUGGAAAAAAUGGGCAGCAGUCCAUAGGAACACUCCACCAGGAGCUCAGGGCACAGAGUUCAUGGAAUUCGGGAGGGGAGGAGAAAAAACUUUGACAGGACUCCAAGGAGGUUUUUGGGAAGAAUGGAAGUCUUUGGAAAACAAGCAUGAAUCCAUUGGAGGGCGAGACUCAGUGGAGAGCAAGGGAACUCUGCUAGGUCAGAUGAAAGUUCUCUCUUCUGCAGAAUCCUGUUUCUUACAGUGGUCAACCAGAGGUGUCUGGGAUGUUCACAGGGCAAUAACCCUCACCCACUGUUGCCCCCUGCCAUUUUCUUGACCUGCCCUGAAUACAAGGGCCAUCUUCUGAAGCAGAGAGCCUCCUGUACUCUUGAAGGCUUCCCACACACAUCUAAGAAAAGAAAUAAGCCAGGAAUCUUAGGGGGAGUGUCUUCCUGUCUCGCUCGGUAGAACACCAUGUUAAAACACACAGUACGCUAUCUUCUUCCAAGUGUAUGUCCAGUACUGAUGUGCUCCCACCACUUCCUAGGCCUCAGAGCGCUGAAAUUCCAACCGUAGACCUUGUUUGUGUCCAGAUUCCUUCCUCAGUUCUUUCAAAUACGUUAUUCAAUGAGCCAUUUGUUUCAUCGCGAUGAUGUCAUGCAGAGCACUACUUUAAACAGAACGAAGAAACAGCAACCCGGGUAUUUUAUCACAUCAGGGUUAUCACUAGCAAAAUAGCCAUGCUGCAGGAAUUUGACUGUUAGUGAACACAUCUGGAAGGCUUUGAUUACAUUAUUCGCCCUAGAUAAUAGGAGAAAAGUUGUCCAGUUGUGCCUAGUUCCAAAAAAGGGCAGCAAAUAAAAGAAGAUUGCUAGACCUUCCUGUCCUACUAAGUGUUAUAAAGGAUGUGGUAGAUAACCUAAUAAAGGCUCAGUUUAACCACACAGAUAACAGGCCGUCAGUUUAAUAAUGCCAACCCACAAGAAUAAAGGGAAAUGUAAAGAAUUUUUAAAAACAUACAUGUUUAUUCAUUUUCAAGAAUACUAUAUGCUCCUCAGCAAGGUUUCACUAGUGCCUUCAUUAUACAGAUUUAGGUACCGGGUGAAAACAUUCCUCUUCAACCAGGUUUUGGGCUGAUUGACAUCUGAUGCCCUUUUAAAUAUGUUGGGCAUUAUUGGUUUGUUGUUGUUGUUGUUCUUUUUUGUGUAUUUUGUAAUUUUCAUAUUGUGAUUUUAUGUUGUGAACUGCUCUGAGAUCUAUGGAUGAAGUGAGGUAUACAAAUUUAAUUGAAUGAUGAUAAUAAUAAUAUACACACUAGAAUUAAACAAAUACUCUCUUCCUCCCAAUCUACUGCCCCCUUUCCUUGGGAAUCUGGAUUUCUCAUUACCUGCAUUAAGCUAAGUGUAAAUUCCAUACUUGUUUCACAAAUAGUAACAUAACUUAUCCUGUAUUUAUCUUAACAAGUCCACCCAUAAAUGUAAAGAAUUUUGAACUGCCCCAUAUGAGAAGCAUUCCCGCCCCCCUACAGCUGUAUAUUGGAGGCACUGAAAAGCCACAGAUCGUCUUGGUAACACUACCACUUGUUAGCAGAAGAAACAUAUUCUUACACAGGAACCUGCUGUGUAAGAUAUGGGCAUUUGGGGGCAGCCCUUGGACCCCUAUGAAAUCCAUGCCUCAAAUGUACAGCUGCACUUGGAAAUGGACUUGGUGGUCCCGUCUUCCAUCCUCUUUGCUCUCUGGAUGACAUGUGGGCCUGUGGCUACCAGAACAUGCUACCAACUGCCUUAGACUGGAGGCCCAGGAGCAGUUCCCAUGCAUAUAGAUCCAGCCACCUCUUCUUUGCCCUGGAACUCUUGCUGUAAUUCUUGUAGCCAAUUUCUGGAGUGAAGCCAGCUGCAGUUAUUGGGUGUGUUACAUUAAGAAGUCUCAAGCAGCUCUGUGGACUCCACCCAUGUUCCAGAGAGACUGAAUGGGUAUAUCCCAAGGGCUGUGUAGAAGUUCUACACUGUGAAGUUUCUUCACUGUGUGAAUUCCUCAUUCUACCUUCCCAGCACCAGAUCUCUCAACUGCCCAGAGUCAUGUGUGUGCUUUCAAGGUGGCCAGUUAGGGAUCACUAUUAGUCUCUGGCCUGGGCCAAUGAUCUGCAGAGCUGAAAGGAAUAUUACAAACACCCACCAGUCACGCAGAAGUCCUAGAGCCAGUCUGCAGCAUCUCCAAGCAGGGCUACCAGAGACUCCUGGUGGAAAACGUGAAUAGCAAACCAAGCUAAUGGACUAUGCUGAAUUGGCAAAGCUGACCGGAAAACUCAGGAACCAAGAGGACAAAAGCGUUAUAGAAGAAUGGGAAAAUUCAUAAGUUAUUUAAGAGACCACUGUAAGCAGAUGGAAACAUUGGCAGGAUUUUGAUUUCACUUGCAGUGUAACAAUUAUCAUGGAAAAUAUGGAUUGAUAUAAUAGUUUGGAGAAGAUGCAGCUUUAAAUGAUUAAAAAGGAACUCCAGGGAAGGAGGGGUGGGGGAGUCCUGAGAUUUGGUGGAAUCUCUUUAUAUGGAUAUGUAAUUGGAUUUUUUAAAAAUAUAAUUUUGCAUUUUUGUAAAAACCAAAUAAAAAUGAUUUCAAAAAAAAGAAAGGAAAACCUGCAUAGUCUCUACUAUAAAGGUAAAGGUAAAGGGACCCCUGACUAUUAGGUCCAGCCGACUCGGGGGUUGCGGCGCUUAUCUCGCUUUAUUGGCCAAGGGAGCCGGCGUACAGCUUCCGGGUCAUGUGGCCAGCAUGACUAAGCUGUUCCUGGUAAGCAGCGCACGGAAACGCCGUUUACCUUCCCGCCGGAGUGAUACCUAUUUAUCUACUUGCACUCUGACGUGCUUUUGAACUGCUAGGUUGGCAGGAGCAGGGACUGAGCAACGGGAGCUCACCCUGUCAUGGGGAUUCGAACCGCCAACCUUCUGAUCGGGAAGUCCUAGGCUCUGUGGUUUAACCCACAACGCCACCCGCAUAGAGUGGAUCAUCUAGUCCAACCCCCUGCAAUGCAGGAAUCUUUUGCCCAGCAUGGGGCUCAAACCCACAACCCUGAGAUUCAGAGUCUCAUGCUCUACCAACUGAGCUAUCUCAGAGCUUCCAGUCAGUGUAGAGGGUACCAAGCUAGAUGGGCUCAGAACGUAGGAAGCUGCCUUAUACUGUGUUCCUGACCUGAGCCACAGAUAACGUAGAGCUGCAAGGGACAUUUAACUCUAAUGCACUGAAUAUCGCCUCAUCCAGAUUCCCACGACCAUCCUAUAACCAAUGGGACAAAAAUGCAUCAGGGCUCAAGGGGCAUGAGCCCUGAUGCAUGGAAUGAGGGCAGGGCAGUAAAACAAGGCCCAGAGGCUGUAGUAAAUUACUUGAUGAAACAUGGUGUGGAGGACGUCCCUUACCCAUCAGUGGCAUAAAUUCACCUUCCUGCUUGCCAAUCUCACAAAUAUGUUCAUCAUAGGAUAGGAAAACAGAUCUACUGAGCUUCUGAAAAGAGGGUCAGAGGAGUUUCAUUCUUUUGUUUUCAUUUCUACUAAAAAGCAGAAGCAGUGCUAUUCAAGCACUAACAUUUUUAAUAUAGGGAAGAUGUUUUGGAAAUAGAGAAGGCAAUAAAAAGAGAGACAGCCACUGAUGCAACUAUAUGGAAGCCAAUUUGUUUUGCUACAAAUUGCUGCAAAGUUUUGAGGGAAUUUCCCCCUUCCUCCUCCUUCAGCAGAAAAUCACCCUGUUUUUGUAGGUAGAUAAUAUUUUUGAGACAUUGGGGAAGAUUUCUGUUCCAUCCGCCCUCCUUUCAAAUUGCCGUCAAGCCCAGACACUCCAGUACUGAAACUUUCAGCAUGUUAAUUUCAGAAGCAGUGUAUCUCUUGACACCCAAGGUGCUAAGACUACGUUCAUAUUUUCCUUGUUUUAUGCUGCAUGCACUACAGAGAGUAUUCUCAGCACAAAAGUGCUCACAUUUUUAGAAAAUAUCUUAUUUGUCUAAUCUCCUGUUACAGUGUGGGCUCCCGUCCCAUUUUCUGUUUUUAAAAUUUGAAAGCAUAAAAGAAAGCUGGGAGUUGGGUGGUUCUCCAAAAUAAUAGUGAUAAGUUAUUACUAUAGAAGCAAAAGUCACAUUUUGACAAGAUUCAGACACCUUGGCUGUGAUCUUUUGAAAUAAGCAAGAGCUAAAAGAGAUUUGUUCGUUUUUAAUGUAGAAAAAACCCAGUGAUAAUAUGUGUAUGUAUUUAUAGCUCUGUGAAAUAUCCUUUUAAUCCUACAUGCAGGAGUGACCAAAAGCAAUGUAAACAACAUUCCUAGAUAAGCAAUGGCAUGCAUCAAGCAGAAGAUCAUAAAAUUAGUGCCAUGUACAGAGAUUAAGGAUGGGUGACUCGUUUUAAUCAAUCUGGGUUUCUUUCAGUUUCUCAUCUUUCCAUUGUAGAGUUGCCACAUCAGUUUUCAUUUUUAAAAAGUCCUCAUGAAAAUCCAUCAGCAUUUUAGUGUAGGGUUGCCAUAUUUCAAGAGGUAAAAAUCUGGACAAAAAAUGUUGUGCUUGAGCCACCAGAGCCUGAGCCCAAAAAGAGGACAUGUCCAAGAUUUCCCUGACGUAUGGCAACCCUAUUUUAGUGUGAUUGUACACACUAAACAUCCUAAUACAGUGGUACCUCAACUUUCAAAUGUAAUCCGUUCUGGAAGACCAUUCGAGUUCCGAAACGUUCGAAUACCAAGGCGCAAAGGGCGGUCUGCAAAUUCAAUAGAGAAAACUGGAAAACAAAACUCAGCGGAAGCCGUUCAACUUCCAAGACGCGUUCGAAAACAGAAGCAUUUAUUUCCGGGUUUUUGGCAUUUGAAAACCGAAACGUUUGACUUCUGAGAAGUUCAAAAACCAAGAUACCACUGUAUAUAGAUAUUUGUAUGUUAUGGUUACCAGCCACCCCAAACUCUGCCAAGUGGCAGCGAGAUUCCAGGGAUGUUAGCACUGGAGUUUGUGUUCCCUUGGAAUGAGGCACAGUGGAGACUGUAGUGUCUUUAACAAAUAUGGUUCAUUUACACCUGAGUUUAGGUGGAGGGAGUACAAAACAUUAUACCCCAAGAGUGCCUCUGAGCUUCAGCAAACCUGGGUCCAGAAGAGAAGUCAGUCAGGCUCCCCAGGCUCUGCAUGCAGUCUCUCCCAGCCAUGGCCCACAUGGAGUUCUCCUCCCCUUUUUCCACAAUUAAAAUACCACAAUUUUUCCUUAGGCCUACAUCACUGCCCACUUCCUACCUGGAACUCUCCUUUCCGGCACACAUCAUCAAACACUAAAAUUCUUUGCUCACCAUCCUCUCAUGGGAGGAGGGGCUCAAUCACUUCUGCCGCUUGGCACAGGGUAACUGUUUGUGUCCAUCGCAGACCCUCCAAGAAUUCCUAUUUUCCAGGGAUACCCCUGAUUUAGAGAAGCCGUCCUAAGUUCUGAUUUGAUCAUCAAAUGUCCCACUUUUCCUUAGGAUGUCCCUAUUUUCAUUGGAGAAAUGUUGGAGGGUACAGAGUUAUCUGACUCCCAAGCCAUCAGAAGGCAACUCUGUAAGUUUUUAAAAAUAUUUAAUGUUUUAUUAUGUUUUUAUAUAUGUUGGAAGCUGCCCAGAGUGGCUGGGGCAACCCAGUAAGAUGUGUGGGGUAUAAAUAGUAAAAUUAUAAUUAUGGAAUGGGAUGUCCCUACUUUCAUUGGAUAAACGUUGGAGGCUAUGCAAUUGCCCAUUACCUUCCUUUUGUACUACAUGAUGGUUCUUCUCUCCAGGACAAUUCCUGGCUAGGAAGCUGAUUCCGCCAGCAUUUUUACACUGCUAAGCCAUCUCACAGACUUCAAGCAUUUAGUCAUCUCCUACAUUUACUGACUCUGGAAAUUGGGGUGGGGGGAGGAAUCUAGUACCCAGGACUUUUAGAGGGAUCUGCCCCAACCUGCACAAAUUCACAACACUAUUUUGCCAAAUCUGCACAUUUCUGCAAUGCAAUUUUUGCUAAUGUACACAUUUUCCAUGUACAUCUUACCCUGUACAUGUAUGUAUUUAUGUAUGUAAUAAUAAUAAUAAUAAUAAAAUAAUUUAUUAUUUGUACCCCACCCAUCUGGCUGAGUUUCCCCAGCCACUCUGGGCGGAUUCCGACAAAGAUUAAAAAUACGUACAUUAAAAUGUCACACAUCAAAAACUUCCCUGAACAGGACUGCCUCCAGAUGUCUUCCAAAUCUGGUAGUUAUUCUUCUCUUUUACAUGUGGUGGGAGGGCGUUCCACAGGGUGGGCGCCGCCACUAAGAAGGCCCUCUGCCUGGUUCCCUGUAGCUUUCCUUCUUGCAGUGAGGAAACUGCCAGAAAGCCCUCGGCGCUGGACCUCAGUGUCCGGGCAGAACGAUAAGGGUGGAGGCGCUCCUUCAGGUAUACUGGGCCAAGGCCGUUGAAUGCAAACUAAAUAACUGUUCUCCCCAAUCCCUAACAGAGCUAGGGAGAGAAGGAGCCAAAUGUUUCUGGUCUCCUAGCUGGGUCGAUGAAAUAGCCCUGCUUCCUUUCUCUCUGACUAUUGCACCCUAGUGGAGAAUGAGCAAGUGUAGGCUUGCCAUAUUUCAAAAAGUGAAAAUCUGAACACAAAAGUUAUUGACCUUUCCCCAAAAAAAUCUCUUUUAAAAAUGAAGCUAUUUCUAUGGAAGUCUGCCAAAAUCUGCACUUCUGAGAUGGGUUGCCAUUCAUCUGGAUUUUCCCAGACAUUUCAGCAAUUUCUACCUGGACACUGUUUCUGACAGCCACAUUCUGGCUAUGUCCGGGAAAUUCCAGGCAUAUGGUAGCAAAAGAGAAAGAGUGGAGAAUCCUGGCAUUUUCAGCCUGCCCACUAAUUACAGAAAUAAUCUGUUUCUCCUGGGCGCUUGCACGCCUUCCCAUCUGCUGAGAGUUUUGCAUGAAAUAUUGGAGAGUUUUGCAAUACUGAGUACAAAGAGGGGUCCAAUGCCAGCCAGCCAUCCUUGCUUCACAAAUUGUUCCAUUAACGCCCCCCCCAGCCCACUUUUAGUUAUGAUACUUGACACUCUGCGUUCGGGUAAAUUAGACUCACAAUGCAUAAUGAGCCAUGAAAAGGUUUUUAAAAAUUCUUUCUGAUACUGGUAAAGCUCACUGCUACUAUUUAUAUCUAUCUAUCUAUCUAUCUAUCUAUCUAUCUAUCUAUCUAUAUCUAUCUAUCAUCUAUCUAUCUGUCUGUCUAUCUAUCUAUCUAUCUAUCAUCUAUCUAUCUAUCAUCUGUCUAUCUAUCAUCUAUCUAUCUAUCAUUAUUGAAAACAAGAAAGAAAAAGAAAAUGAGAAGCAGUGUCAUGUGGCCUGUAGUGUGUCAGACUAGGUUUAGGGAGACUCAUGUUCCACAUGAAACUAGUGGGCAGCAUCCACUUUUUGCUACAAAUGACUAACUUAUCCCAUUUAUUUCAGUGGGAUGAAAGUGUGACUAACAGAGCAGCGCUAACCGUGCCUUCUCAGCUCAGUUGAAUUCCAUGGGGUUUACUCCCAGGUAAGUCAGGUUAGGAUUGCUGCUAAGGCUCUCAUCCUAUGCACGUUUUCCUGAAAGUAAGUCCUAUUGAACUCAAUGUGCUUUACUUCUGAGUAGACACCAUAGGACUGCUCUGCAACUUUGUCUGGAUCCAGCCCAGAGACAUUUGAAUUUGGGCUCCAAACCCAAUAGCUAUAAUUGGUGUCAGGCUCUAAUCCCCACCCUCCACACACACAGAUAUAUACAAACCUUAUUUAGAAGAAUAUUGUCUGUUUAAGUAAAGCCUAAUCUUAAAAAAAACAACAAAAUCAUCCUUGCAGGAACCUAAUAAAUGUGUGAAAAGAAUGUUGUUUAUUAGUGUCAAGGGACUGCUAUUCAGCUGAGCUGCAAAAUUAAUUUCCCAGCACGGUCGAUAAGACAUAAAAAAACUCCCAGAUGCUGCUGUCACCCGUCAAACCACAGUGAAAUAUUGCUCCUUUGUAGUGCAUCGCCCCAGCAACAUCAUGUUUUCCUUAGCAGUGUUGUGAUAAAGAACGACCUCAAACACAGCUCUUUGGUUCAGCUCGCACUUCUCCUUGAUAACCCGCAGAUGUCUGAAAAGGGAUUUUAAAGGGGUUUGUAAAUGGCCCUCGUGGCUGAAGACAGUCAAGAGCUUUCAAGAGGGUUAAGGUGGCGUUAUGAAGCCUUCAUUGUAUGUGAUACACACACUCCUCACGCUUGUCACUGCUUGCAUAGAGAUUUACAAUUGUGCCUCAAUGCAUUCCUCUUGGUAUUCUCCCAGCAGUUUGUUUGUUUUGUACAGGUCCUCCCUCUGUUUUGACCUCCACAGAUGCAGAAAGAUACCUUUUUAAAUAACAUAACUCAUAGAGCACAAUAGCAACGCAUCUCUCAGUGAUCAACAGAUAUUUACAGAUGGUUGCCUGCCAUGUGUGCUCCCGUUUGAAGAUGCUGAAUUUCAAAGUCGUUAUCCUUUUGCAGUGAAAGCAACAAAGGCUCUUAUGGCACCUUAAAGACAAUGCUAAUGAAGUGGCUGGUGGCCCAUCACAAAGCCAUCAAUGGCUGCAGACCCAGGAGCAAGCCCCACUGAAUGUCAUUAGGAUUCCAGCCUUGGUGGAUAAAAGCCUGCCUCUAGCAAUGAGCAAUGAACACAAAGUCCACAAACAACACUUCAGGAAAAAAGGCGAAGCAAAGAGGCACCUGUUGGGACAUAGAUGGAUAUGUCAAUUACGUAAGGUUCAAAGCAGACAAAAUAUAUAUUUACAGUCAUACCUCGUGUUACGUUUGCUUCACGUUGCGGCUUUUCAGGUUAUGAACACGGCAAACCCUGAAAUGGAUCGCGUUCGUAAAUAGAGGUACCACUGUAUAUAUAAUGUAUGCACAUUUUUUUAAAAAAACUUGGGUUGUAGGCAAAAACAAUACAUAAUCUGUCUUGUUAUGGAGGUCAAAUGGGGUUUUUGAAUUUAGACAUAAGGCUGCAUGAAAUUAGGCCAUAGAGCCACAGGUCACUCACUCCUGGGACUCAGCUACAUUAGUAAAGAAAAAGCGUUUUAAAUGCGUUAUAACACCGUGACACCAGAUGGUGCCGUGGAGUUCCGUCUUUUGGCAAUGUGGUUUCCCAUUAUGAAGUUUGCAACACAUUUUCCUGAAACAUUUUUUUUCCUUUAUGUGUCUAGAUCCAGCCCUGGUCAAAAUGCAUUGGUUUUCAACUGGUAGACGGUGAUCCAUUGCUGGGAAGCAGCCUGACUUAAGGUGGGUCACAGCAACAAUCGUUUUCAAAACGUUCAGUUGAGCUGCAGCUUCACGAAAAAGUUUGUUUCUUAUUGUGGUGCUUGCUCACCACUUCCUUGUUGUGAGGGAAAGAUUUGCUUCUUUACAUUGCUGGAAGGAAUGAAGAGUGAUGUGCUACUAGAGAGACCACCAGGAUGUUAGAAUGUUCCCUAAAAUGACAUCUCCUUUGGUGCAGCCUUAAAUAAAGUGUUUGCUCUUAGUGAACAACUGGUGCCUGUGCUCUUUACAGCACCACAAACUAUAAGGAAUGAGUCAGCCACUCCUGUGUUUGCAAGGGAUGAGUCAUGCCAGUCCUCUGCAUGUACCAUUGAUGCUCAUAAUCCAUGCACCUCUUUUUUCUGCUUUGGGUGCAGCAAUAAAAAAAGGAAAAUGAACUGAUUUACAAAUGGCAUUCUAAGGAUGAGACUCCCAACAGCAUUAACUUUGUAAAGAUUGCACGUUCUAUACUACAGAAGAGGAGGAGGGGGCGAUCCUCUCUGUGUGCUUUGCAUCAUGUUUAAUAGGUACAGAGCCCUGUCACCAGUUUCUCACACUUCUUCAGGGUUUUUUUUCCUUUUCCCACCAUUAAAAUUCUAAUCUGUCCCAAUUAGUGUGAAUGCAACUCCAUGCACACAAAAAUUAUCACAGGAUUUUAAAAUAUUUCUUCGCAUUAGCUGCUGCUGGAGAUAACCUGAUGAUAUGAGACAUUGGACAAACCCGUAAUGCUUUUGCCUCUUUUCUUUUCUCCCUCCCUCCCUCCCCUCUUUCUUUGCUGCCACUGUUCAAAAGGAAAAUGAAACACCAGAGUGUUUUCAAAACCCUCCCAAAUUCAAACUGACUUCUAAAGUAAGGCUGCUUUUGUUCCUCGCCACUCCAUUUGGACUGAAAGUUUGAUCACGUUGGACAGGUCCACACUGUACAGUUAAAGCCAAUUUGGUGCACACUGAUUCCUCCAACAAGCUUCAGGAGCUGUAGUUUGUUGAGGCUGCUGGGAAUUGUAGCUCACUGAGGUGAAGCUACAGUUCCCAGGGCUCUUUCGGAGAGGCCAUGUGCUUUCAGUGUGUGGUGUGGUUCUGUCCAUAUUCCAUUUAACUGAAACAGAGUCACAUUUUCUGCCCCAAGUCAGCAUUCUGCUGCAGACCUGGAUAUUUUAAAAUCAUUAAAACUAUGAUUUUGGACAUUUACAGAAUUGCAGCCUGAAUAAUGUGGGGGAAAGAAGAAGCUGUAAAUUGCAAAUUUUAUUUCUCGGGGCUCUUUGUAAGUAAGUAAGUAACUGGCUAUGGCUCUAAAUUUAUUUGCCUUCUUUCUGGAAAGAAUAUCGGGACGCCACACACUGAAGCAUGACAUAUAACAAGAGUGAUGUGCGACUUUUAUUUU